rnacentral:rRNA from 1 species
GACAGCGUACCUUUUGUAUAAUGGGUCAGCGACUUAAUUUAACGAGCAAGCUUAAGCCGAUAGGUGUAGGCGCAGCGAAAGCGAGUCUGAAUAGGGCGUCAAGUUCGUUGGAUUAGACCCGAAACCGAGUGAUCUAGCCAUGGCCAGGUUGAAGGUGCGGUAACACGCACUGGAGGACCGAACCCACGCCUGUUGAAAAAGUCGGGGAUGAGCUGUGGCUAGGGGUGAAAGGCCAAUCAAACUCGGAGAUAGCUGGUUCUCCGCGAAAUCUAUUUAGGUAGAGCGUCGGAUGAAUACUCUCGGGGGUAGAGCACUGGAUGGGCUAGGGGGUCCCAACGACUUACCAAACCUAACCAAACUCCGAAUACCGAAGAGUAGAGCGAGGCAGACACACUGCGGGUGCUAAGGUCCGUAGUGGAGAGGGAAACAGCCCUGACCGCCAGCUAAGGUCCCUAAGUUAUCACUAAGUGGGAAACGAUGUGGGAAUGCUUAGACAACCAGGAGGUUGGCUUAGAAGCAGCCAUCCUUUAAAGAUAGCGUAACAGCUCACUGGUCUAAACAAGUUGUCCUGCGGCGAAGAUGUAACGGGGCUCAAGCCAUGAGCCGAAGCUGAGGAUGCACAUAGUGCAUGGUAGCGGAGCGUAGUGUG